rnacentral:rRNA from 1 species
CAGCAGCCGCGGGAAUACAGAGGGUGCGAGCGUUAAUCGGAUUUACUGGGCGUAAAGCGUGCGUAGGCGGCUAAUUGAGUCGGAUGUGAAAUCCCCGAGCUUAACUUGGGAAUUGCAUUCGAUACUGGUUAGCUAGAGUGUGGGAGAGGAUGGUAGAAUUCCAGGUGUAGCGGUGAAAUGCGUAGAGAUCUGGAGGAAUACCGAUGGCGAAGGCAGCCAUCUGGCCUAACACUGACGCUGAGGUACGAAAGCAUGGGGAGCAAACAGGAUUAGAUACCCCUGUAGUCCCUGUCUCUUAUAC